rnacentral:rRNA from 1 species
UACAGAGGGGGCAAGCGUUAUUCGGAAUUAUUGGGCGUAAAGGGCGCGUAGGCGGCAUGGCAAGUGGAUGGUGAAAUCCCUCGGCUUAACCGAGGAACUGCCGUCCAAACUGCUUCGCUUGAGACCGGGAGAGGUGAGUGGAAUUCCCAGUGUAGCGGUGAAAUGCGUAGAUAUUGGGAGGAACACCAGUGGCGAAGGCGGCUCACUGGACCGGUACUGACGCUGAGGUGCGAAAGCGUGGGGAGCAACAGG